UGGUUGAUCCCGCCGGAGGUUACUGCUAUCGAGGUUCGACUAAGCCAUGCGAGUCGAAUGUAGCAAUACAUGGCGUACUGCUCAGUAACACGUGGACAACCUACCCUGAGGCCGGGGAUAAACCCGGGAAACUGGGUAUAAUACCCGAUAGAUCUAGAUUGCUGGAAUGCUUUUAGGUCUAAAGUUCCGACGCCUCAGGAUGGGUCUGUGGCCUAUCAGGGUAGUAGUGGGUGUAAAGUACCUACUAGCCUACGACGGGUACGGGUUGUGAGAGCAAGAGCCCGGAGAUGGAUUCUGAGACACGAAUCCAGGCCCUACGGGGUGCAGCAGGCGCGAAACCUUUACAAUGCUGGCAACAGCGAUAAGGGGACCUCGAGUGCUACGAUACAAUCGUGGCUGUCUAGUUGCCUAAAAAGCAAUUGAUAGCAAGGGCCGGGCAAGACCGGUGCCAGCCGCCGCGGUAACACCGGCGGCUCGAGUGGUAACCGCUAUUAUUGGGUCUAAAGGGUCUGUAGCCGGCUUAGUUAGUCUCUUGAGAAAUCUGGCCGCUCAACGGUCAGGCGCUCAGGGGAUACUGCUAAAGCUCGGGACCGGGAGAGGUGGGAGGUACUUCAGGGGUAGGGGUGAAAUCUUGUAAUCCUUGAAGGACCACCAGUGGCGAAGGCGUCUCACCAGAACGGAUCUGACGGCAAGGGACGAAAGCUAGGGGCACGAACCGGAUUAGAUACCCGGGUAGUCCUAGCCGUAAACGAUACUCGCUAGGUGUCGGCCACGGUGCGACCGUGGUCGGUGCCGUAGGGAAGCCGUGAAGCGAGCCACCUGGGAAGUACGGCCGCAAGGCUGAAACUUAAAGGAAUUGGCGGGGGAGCACUACAACGGGUGGAGCUUGCGGUUUAAUUGGAUUCAACGCCGGAAAUCUUACCGGGGCCGACAGCGAUAUGAAGGUCAGGCUAAGGACCUUGCCUGAUUAGCUGAGAGGUGGUGCAUGGCCGUCGUCAGUUCGUACUGUGAAGCAUCCUGUUAAGUCAGGCAACGAGCGAGACCCA
rnacentral:rRNA from 1 species